GACGAACGCUGGCGGCGUGCUUAACACAUGCAAGUCGAACGGUGACCCAGGGCUUGCCCUGGUGAUCAGUGGCGAACGGGUGAGUAACACGUGGGCAACCUGCCCCUGACUUCGGGAUAACUCCUCGAAAGAGGAGCUAAUACCGGAUACGACCACUUCGGACAUCCGAUGGUGGUGGAAAGUUUUCGGUCAGGGAUGGGCCCGCGGCCUAUCAGCUAGUUGGUGGGGUAAUGGCCUACCAAGGCGACGACGGGUAGCCGGCCUGAGAGGGCGACCGGCCACACUGGGACUGAGACACGGCCCAGACUCCUACGGGAGGCAGCAGUGGGGAAUAUUGCGCAAUGGGCGAAAGCCUGACGCAGCGACGCCGCGUGAGGGAUGAAGGCCUUCGGGUUGGUAAACCUCUUUCAGCAGGGACGAAGCGAAAGUGACGGUACCUGCAGAAGAAGCACCGGCUAACUACGUGCCAGCAGCCGCGGUAAU
rnacentral:rRNA from 1 species